AAAGCAACAACAACACCCAAGAGAGACAAUGCAGUGUAUAACUACAAGAUUGUACCAUAUCCAAGUUUGAAACUUUUGGCCAUAAAUCAAAGCAACAACGCCCACGAGGGACACAAUUCAGUGUUUAACUACAAGAUUUGUACCAUAUCCAAUGAAAAGUUUGAAACUUUAAGCCAUAAAUCUAAGCAACAAGGCCUAAAAUUCAGCAUUUAACUCCAAGAUUUGAACAAAAUUGUGGAUUUUUUUAGAUCUCUUCUCUCUCACAAAACUUUAGAAAAGCGGAUCGCGCAUUAAGGUUACCAGAAUUUAAGAUUAAAGAUGAAAAUUAUAUAAACAUAAAUGAAAAAGAAACCACUUUUAUAAUAUUAAAUUUUACAGGAGAAUUUUGUUUUCUCGAAGAAAAUAGAAAAAUCAAACAAGAAAUUACAUUAAAAAUUGAAUUGAAUGAGAAAG